CCUACGGGAGGCAGCAGUGAGGAAUAUUGGUCAAUGGACGAGAGUCUGAACCAGCCAAGUAGCGUGAAGGAUGACUGCCCUAUGGGUUGUAAACUUCUUUUAUAUGGGAAUAAAACGUUCCACGUGUGGGAUUUUGUAUGUACCAUAUGAAUAAGGAUCGGCUAACUCCGUGCCAGCAGCCGCGGUAAUACGGAGGAUCCGAGCGUUAUCCGGAGUUAUUGGGUUUAAAGGGAGCGUAGGUGGAUUGUUAAGUCAGUUGUGAAAGUUUGCGGCUCAACCGUAAAAUUGCAGUUGAAACUGGCAGUCUUGAGUACAGUAGAGGUGGGCGGAAUUCGUGGUGUAGCGGUGAAAUGCUUAGAGAUCACGAAGAACUCCGAUUGCGAAGGCAGUUCACUGGACUGCAACUGACACUGAGGCUCGAAAGUGUGGGUAUCAAACAGGAUUAGAUACCCCUGUAGUC
rnacentral:rRNA from 1 species